rnacentral:rRNA from 1 species
GCCGACCGCUGGCGGCGUGCUUAACACAUGCAAGUCGAACGGAGCGGCCCUGCUUUUGUGGGGUGCUCGAGUGGCGAACGGGUGAGUAACACGUGAGUAACCUGCCUUUGACUCUGGGAUAACUUCAGGAAACUGGGGCUAAUACCGGAUAGGUGCUCCUGCUGCAUGGUGGGGGUUGGAAAGUUUCGGCGGUUGGGGAUGGACUCGCGGCUUUUCAGCUUGUUGGUGGGGUAGUGGCUUACCAAGGCUUUGACGGGUAGCCGGCCUGAGCGGGUGACCGGCCACAUUGGGACUGAGAUACGAGCCAGACUCCUACGGGGGGCAGCAGUGGGGAAUAUUGCACAAUGGGCUGAAGCCGGAUGCAGCAACGCCGCGUGCGGGAUGACGGCCUUCGGGUUGUAAACCGCUUUCGCCUGUGACGAAGCGUGAGUGACGGUAAUGGGUAAAGAAGCACCGGCUAACUACGUG